UGGACAGAUUAUUGUACUCGACUGUAUUCAUGGCGUGAAACAGGGGAUUACACUGUUUUUAAACGGAAAGUGAAUCAAUUAACAUAAUAGACUCCU
rfam:Nicotiana attenuata strain TT chromosome 10, whole genome shotgun sequence.